CCAUGCCGCGUGCAGGAUGAAGGCUCUUCGAGUCGUAAACUGCUUUUAUCGGGGAAGAACGGCCAGGGUGCGCCCUGGUGUGACGGUAUCCGAUGAAUAAGCACCGGCUAACUCCGUGCCAGCAGCCGCGGUAAUACGGAGGGUGCAAGCGUUGUCCGGAUUUAUUGGGUUUAAAGGGUGCGUAGGCGGGUAAUUAAGUCUGGCUUUAAAGCAGGUCGCUCAACGAUCUAAUGUGGCUGGAUACUGGUUAUCUUGAAAUUGUUGGCCGCAGCCGGAAUGGGUCAUGUAGCGGUGAAAUGCAUAGAUAUGCCCCGGAACCCCGAUUGCGAAGGCAGGCUGCGACGACUGAUUUGACGCUGAGGCACGAGAGCAAGGGUAGCAAACAGGAUUAGAUACCCUGGUAGUCCUUGCCGUAAACGAUGAUUACUGACUGUAUGCAUUUGAUGUAUGUGGUUAAGCGAAAGCGUUAAGUAAUCCACCUGGGGAGUACGCCGGCAACGGUGAAACUCAAAGGAAUUGACGGGGG
rnacentral:rRNA from 1 species